UAAACCAAAUUAAACGUCAGAAUUUUGGAAAACUGUUCUUUUGGAAACUAAGUUCCAAAUGAAGACAGUUUGUGACAGUGAAGCGAUUUUUGGAAUUCAUAUCUCGGUUGGCACGCUGUUGGGCCGAAUUUCAACUACUGGGCAAAUUAUCACUUGGCUUCAUCAUGGUUCUGUGCAUCUCAAGGAUUCCUUGGGAUUCGAUCGUCUACUUGAUAGCGGUAAGUCGCUUAAAUUUUGUUUUUUUGUUCUCAGUUUUAAGGAAAGACGUUUACGUAGAAAGUUUGCAGAAAUAAAAGACAGUGUUUUUCUGAGGCCAACGUUUGAGCUUUAUUUUAGUCAUCAUCGGGGCGCUGGAUAUUAAAACAGAGUAUUUUGAGAGUUUGGCAUUUUACAAUCCGAGUGUAAACGAGUUACAACUGAGUAAAAGGACAAAUACUACAAAUCCACCUAAAAGUGUAACUUUUACAUACAUUUUGCUUUUUGAAGUGAUAACUUUUUAUG